UACGUAGGGUGCAAGCGUUGUCCGGAAUUAUUGGGCGUAAAGAGCUUGUAGGCGGUUUGUCGCGUCUGCUGUGAAAUUUCGGGGCUCAACCCCGAACUUGCAGUGGGUACGGGCAGACUAGAGUGUGGUAGGGGAGACUGGAAUUCCUGGUGUAGCGGUGAAAUGCGCAGAUAUCAGGAGGAACACCAGUGGCGAAGGCGGUGAUCUGGGCCGAUACUGACGCUGUAGAGCGAAAGCGUGGGGAGCGAACAGG
rnacentral:rRNA from 1 species